CUAAACGGUAAUAGCUUGACCCAGCCAGCGUGCUCUCUCUUCCUCCAGGCAUGCUGUGAAAACCAUUCACACCACGUUCAGAUUGCAGACCUCUGACCCGUCACCAGCCUGUCAGUGUCAGUGAGGCCGAGGAGAGGACGCAGGCCAGCAAUCCAAAAAGGACGCUUCCAGCCUGUGCCCAGGGCACAGUCUCCAGGCUGGGACUCUUCCCUUUCCAGCUGCUCCUUCAACCCUGGACCUGGUGCAAAGAAAUGGAGCCCUGAAUGGGACAGAGGUGGCACAAACAAAGAAACGGGAUCAUCAAUAGCAGCGAUGGCUUUCCUGUCCAUCUGCAUCAUGAUGUCUACAUAGCAUCACCCUUCCUAGACGCUGUAUUCUCUGCCACCCGAAGCCGUUGCGCCCUCUCAUUAUGUUCAAAGUGCCAUCUGCACCGGCUGCCUGCACACUCUGACCUCUCUCUCAUUCCUGCCACACUGGAACUGAGCCCUGUCUACUGUCAAAGCUCCGACUGACGUCACCAGUGACCUCCAUGAGGCCAGUACAGUGCCCGCUUUCAUGCUUUAUCACCCCAGUUUCUUAGUAGCAGGUGACACUGAGGGCCGCUCCCCCUGACUCCUCCCUUUCCAGUUCCCAUUUCCUCUGGCCUUGUAAGCUGUGUUCCCCAGGGCUCCAUUCUCCGCUCCUUCUUUUU
rnacentral:lncRNA from 1 species